rnacentral:lncRNA from 1 species
ACAGUAUAGUAGACUCGCACAAGUUCUAGGUAUGUUGCAUUACGGUCCAUCAUGGUUAUCAGAAUCCUUCCACCAUCAUAAUAUGCACCGUUAGCAUUCUGACUGCUCCUCCCAUCCUAAUGGAAGAUAACAAUGAUAAAACUUAGAUCCAUUUUGUUAGAAAUUAUUGUGAGAAGUAACUGCAUGAAUAUAUAAACAGAUGUCAC